UAGAUCGCACUUCAUGGGAUCAAUUCUAUAGUGUGAUUGUAGGUCCUCAAUCUAAAGCUGGAUCCAUUCUUCCACCAUGAAGAUUUUCAGUGUGAUUCUCUGAGCGGGAAGCUGCUCUUGAAUUCUUAAGAGCAUUGAUGACCGUUCUGGCUCGGUCUGCCGAAGAAGUUCGGGGAGGAUCGCACAGGCUGAGUGGU
rnacentral:snoRNA from 1 species